GCGGACCAGCGCCCUGUCGGAGGGGCGCGCGUGGGGGCGAGAGGCACGAGAACGCGAGUGCGCGUGCGCGAGCGGCGGGGCUUUCUCCCGAGCCGUCGGAGGGAGCCGGAGCGCCUCUCCAGAGUUGGUGAUUGAUCAGCCGUGGUUCAACAUGCAGAGGUGAGUGAGUGGUGAAAAGCAGCAGAGCUGAUGGGUCGUGAGGAUGUAAGUGUGUUCGAAGGUUCUCACACCCUCUACUCCAGGGAGUUCAUUUCUGGAGACCCCGUCUUUAUGAAAACUGACCCUCCUUGCCUCACUUUCAAGAGCAGAGAAGUUCAGAAGUUCAGACUCAGCAGUGGGCUGGGGG